CUGUAAGACUGGGAUAACUCCGGGAAACCGGGGCUAAUACCGGAUAACUCAGUUCCUCGCAUGAGGAACGGUUGAAAGGUGGCUUUUAGCUACCACUUACAGAUGGACCCGCGGCGCAUUAGCUAGUUGGUGAGGUAACGGCUCACCAAGGCGACGAUGCGUAGCCGACCUGAGAGGGUGAUCGGCCACACUGGGACUGAGACACGGCCCAGACUCCUACGGGAGGCAGCA
rnacentral:rRNA from 1 species